AACGAACGCUGGCGGCAUGCCUAACACAUGCAAGUCGAACGAUCCCUUCGGGGUUAGUGGCGCACGGGUGCGUAACGCGUGGGAACCUGCCCUUAGGUUCGGAAUAACUCAGAGAAAUUUGAGCUAAUACCGGAUAAUGUCUUCGGACCAAAGAUUUAUCGCCUUUGGAUGGGCCCUCGUUGGAUUAGCUAGUUGGUGGGGUAAAGGCCUACCAAGGCGACGAUGCAUAGCUGGUCUGAGAGGAUGAUCAUCCACACUGGGACUGAGACACGGCCCAGACUCCUACGGGAGGCAGCAGUGGGGAAUAUUGGACAAUGGGCGAAAGCCUGAUACAGCAAUGCCGCGUGAGUGAUGAAGGCCUUAGGGUUGUAAAGCUCUUUUACCCGGGAUGAUAAUGACAGUACCGGGAGAAUAAGCCCCGGCUAACUCCGUG
rnacentral:rRNA from 1 species